rnacentral:rRNA from 1 species
CCUGAGAAACCCAAAAGAUCGAAUGGGGAGAUUCAUCGUCAGCGAUCCUGGCUCGUGUGCGGUUCGUGAUGCAGGAGGCUUCGGUCUCAUUGCACGCGUCCGCAUGGUUUUUUUGCCGGGUGUCGUCGGCGUGCACUUCUCCCCUAGUAGGACGUCGCGACCCGUUGGGUGUCGGUCUACGGCCCGGGCGGGCGCCUGUCAUGUGUUGCGCUUCACGGCGUCAUGUGGCAGACCCCCGGUUGUCUGACCAGCUGCUCGGCGGUACUCGCACGAUAUCGAGUCGCAAAUAUUCGAACUGCGUCCGGCCCGCCGCAAGCGAGGCCAGUGUUUCCCGGAUGUCACGGACCUAGCGCCGUCACCGGGCCUGGCCAGCUGUUGGUUGGUGGUGUCCUGGGACUGGCUCUAAAUUUUAUGAUAUCGGUCGGCGACGCUACUGCUUUGGGUACUUUCAGGA